rnacentral:lncRNA from 1 species
GGAAAGGGCGGGAGAUCAAGAUGCACGAUCAGAACCAAACACAGGAACUGUUGGCGCGUGCCAAGUCUCGGUCGCGGUCACCGGUCGGUGCGACUCUCUGCCGUCUUCUGCGUGUUUGAAACUUCGCUUAGGAAGAGAGUGAAGAUGGGGAGAGGCCGCUGCUCGGAGCUCGGAGACGCACACGUCCUCCACCGCGACACCGCGACACAGGGAAAGGAGCGUCCUCCACCGCGACACAGUGACACAGGGAAAGGAGCGUGCGGGGCGGUGGCAGAGCUGGCGCGGUGCUUCAAGGAAGCGCUUCCUUCUUCUCCGUGAAGACAGAGCAUUUGCUGAGAGGACAGACGUGGGACAAGGGCUGGCAGCCCUGGCACUGAACCCCUUUCCUGAUCCCACAGGUCGCGCCCCAUUUGCCUGGUGCCACCAGGGGUGCUGGGAGUUGAGAGGACGUGUCCAGCCCACCUCCCUGUCGCUGCUUGGCGUCACCUUUCACUCAUUCAAAUGGUUUUUAGUGCCUUGAUCACAGAAGCCACCUUAAACCCACUUCGGAAGUAGGUAGGGCAUCAAUCUGUCAGUCAAUCAACAAACAGCCUUGAAGAGUAGCUCAGUUACCAGUUACCCUCCCUUGUCCCAGGAGCCUCCUCCGAGAGAAAAUGAAAGAGCGCAGACCUAGGAUUGAAGAUCAUCCAAAUGUAGAGACAAAAGGAAAGUCGAGUUCUUGGUGCUCCACCGUGGCUCUGCCAAGGUUGACGUGGGCCUGGAGCAAGCCUGCUCCUGAGUGACCCGAGGAGAAGCCAAGGGUCACCCAGGGUCCCAGCCCAGGCAGCAGCCCCCACCCCAUGCAUCCGACAGCUGCAAAGUGCUCAGUGAUCUGAAUAAAUGACAGCUGGGGAGCAUGGAGAACCUAAAUUGCAGAUACGGUUGAUCCUCACUAUUCGCGGAUUCUGUAUUUGCAAAUUCGCCU